CACGUCAGCGCGCUUUGCUGACAUGACAACAAAUCGCGUCCUCUGGAGCGCAAGUUGUGUCCACGUCAGCAAAGCGCGCUGACGUGG
rfam:Gossypium hirsutum cultivar TM-1 chromosome 15, whole genome shotgun sequence